rnacentral:tRNA from 1 species
GUAAGCAUAGUUUAAUUUAAAACAUUAGAUUGUGAUUCUAAAAAUGGAGGUUAAAAUCCUCCUACUCACC